UCCCAGCUAAGAACAAUGCAGUGAUGUUAUCAGUCCUUCCUCGGCGGCACUGCAACUAAGGAGAGGCUUCCCUGGCAAACAACGAGGAGUGUCCUGCACCUCAGCCCUGAAUCCAGCCACUGACUAUUAAGCACGGUGUGGGGGAGAGAUCUCUGAGUGAGAAGGAAAGUAGAAAGCUGGAAGGAGGCUGAUGGGAAGAAGAUUCUUGCAGCUGAGCCUGGAGAAGAACCUAUGCCUGAAGUUCUCCUCCCACAGAGGAGCCGCAAGUCAGGCUUCGGAGCAUGGAGCAGCUGAGAGGCUGAGAUGAAGACGGGAGAUAAAUGGACGUGGGGAGUGAAUAGCAUUCAAUGAGGGAAACGGGAGCAGAAAGCUGACUUGGAUGGGAUUUCUCUAUGUCUAAAUGACAUUUUAAAUUCUUUCAGGGAACAUUUUUCAUAUAUCCCAUUCCUCUAGGUCUUGUGGCAGCAGAAAGCCUCAUUCCCUUCACAUUCUCAGUAAUGCAAUUCCUUUCAUAUCAGAAGGUUGCAUUAAUGGAAGGAAGCAGGAUGAAUCUCAGGACUGGAAGCACAAAACGCCCUCAUCAUAAGGCCACUGGUACAACACAUGAGAAGGCUUUUUCCUUUUAACCUUGGAGAGGAUAUCAGAUUGCUUUUAAUAUUGUAUCUAUCAAUGCUGGGCCACAGGACAUUUGUUUGCUUCAGGUGUCAUGGGAGCUGAAAAAUCUUCUUUGUGGGGAAUGAUAUUAUCCCUCUAAAGUCUUAUCUUAAGGAAAAUAUAUGCAAACUUGCAGGGAAACCUCUCUGGGUUGCAUUUUAACUUAACAGGAGGUUCUUUUCCCAGAGCAUCUGUUAGCAGAGGAAUACAUGCACACACACAUACUCACACCACUGUAGCAACCAAAGAAUGCAGGACCCUCCUCCGAUGGGCUGGGGGAAGGAGGCAGCUGGGGGCAGAAGGCUUCUCAUGCCAUUCUGGCUCAGAGAUAUCCCUGGAACGAAGGGGUAAUUACACAAAAGCCAAAGAUGUUGGUUCUGAAUUGCGGCCAGCUGGCGGCCUCUGAGUCAGCAGGGCCCAGCCCCACUACCCUCCAGCAGCUGCCCUGGGCUCUUCCACUGCCAGAUGCUGUUAAAAUGAUGAGACAUCCCCCAGCCCAUGCCGAGAACCCUGAAUCUUGCUCUGCAAAAGCACUUACUGGGCUUCUUACAGCGCAGUAAUGGUGCAAUGACCACAGUGCUGUGGGUCACGUCCAACUGAACAGGAGAGAGAAAGCAGCUUAUACGCUGCUAAUACUUCCAGAGAGGGAAGGGAAGGAUUCUGUGGUCUGAGAUAGGGCAGAAGAGGUUCAAAUUACUGACAGAUUUUGAAAA